rnacentral:misc_RNA from 1 species
UUCGUGAGCAGGGUCUUUGAACUGCGCGAUAAGCUCCUGACGCCGGAUAUCGAAGGCAUCGGAAACAUACUUGACGAACAAGAGCCCUAGUACAGCGUGCUUGUACUGAGCC